GGGGGCGUAGCUCAGCUGGGAGAGCGCACGGUUCGCAUCCGUAAGGUCGAGAGUUCGAUCCUCUUCGUCUCCACCA
rnacentral:tRNA from 1 species